UACGUAGGUGACAAGCGUUGUCCGGAUUUACUGGGCGUAAAGAGCGCGCAGGCGGUCGUUCAAGUCGAGUGUGAAAGCCCCCGGCUCAACUGGGGAGGGUCAUUCGAUACUGAUCGACUCGAAGGCAGGAGAGGGAAGUGGAAUUCCCGGUGUAGUGGUGAAAUGCGUAGAUAUCGGGGAGGAACACCAGUGGCGAAGGCGACUUCCUGGCCUGUUCUUGACGCUGAGGCGCGAAAGCUAGGGGAGCAAACGGG
rnacentral:rRNA from 1 species